GAAGUUACAGCUCAGUGGUAGAGUGGAUGACUAGCAUGCAUGAAGUCCUGGGUUCAAUCUCCAGUACCUCCA
rnacentral:tRNA from 1 species